rnacentral:misc_RNA from 1 species
GAAAUGCGAUAAGUAAUGUGAAUUGCAGAAUUCAGUGAAUCAUCGAAUCUUUGAACGCACCUUGCGCUCCUUGGUAUUCCUUGGAGCAUGCCUGUUUGAGUAUCAUGAAAUCUUCAAAGUAAAUCUUUUCUUAACUCAAUUGGUUUCUACUUUGGUAUUGGAGGUCUUUGCAGCUUCACACCUGCUCCUCUUUGUUCAUUAGCUGGAUCUCAGUGUUAUGCUUGGUUCCACUCGGCGUGAUAAGUUAUCUAUCGCUGAGGACACUGUAAAAGGUGGCCAAGGUAAAUGCAGAUGAACCGCUUCUAAUAGUCCAUUGACUUGGACAAUACUUUUAUGAUCUGAUCUCAAAUCAGGUAGGACUACCCGCUGAACUUAAGC